rnacentral:rRNA from 1 species
UACGUAGGGUGCAAGCGUUGUCCGGAAUUAUUGGGCGUAGAGAGCUCGUAGGCGGUCUGUCGCGUCUGCUGUGAAAACUCGGGGCUUAACCCCGGGCCUGCAGUGGGUACGGGCAGACUAGAGUGCGGUAGGGGAGACUGGAAUUCCUGGUGUAGCGGUGAAAUGCGCAGAUAUCAGGAGGAACACCGGUGGCGAAGGCGGGUCUCUGGGCCGUAACUGACGCUGAGGAGCGUAAGCAUGGGGAGCGAACAGG